UCACUUGUCUUUUAAAUGGAGACCUGUAUGAAUGGCAUAACGAGGGCUUAGCUGUCUCCUUUUUCAAGUCAAUGAAAUUGAUCUCCCCGUGCAGAAGCGGGGAUAACACCAUAAGACGAGAAGACCCUAUGGAGCUUUAGACACCAAGGCAGAUCAUGUUAAACACCCCUUCACAAAGGACUAAACCAGAUGAACCCUGCCCUAAUGUCUUUGGUUGGGGCGACCGCGGGGAAACAGAAAACCCCCACGUGGAAUGGGAACACUCCUUCCUACAACUAAGAGCUCCCGCUCUAAUGACCAGAACUUCUGACCAAUUAGAUCCGGCAACGCCGAUCAACGAACCGAGUUACCCUAGGGAUAACAGCGCAAUCCCCUUUUAGAGCCCAUAUCGACAAGGGGGUUUACGACCUCGAUGUUGGAUCAGGACAUCCUAAUGGUGCAGCCGCUAUUAAGGGUUCGUUUGUUCAACGAUUAAAGUCCUACGUGAUCUGA
rnacentral:rRNA from 1 species